UACGUAGGGGGGCAAGCGUUGUCCGGAUUUAUUGGGCGUAAAGAGCGUGUAGGCGGUUUGGUAGGUCCGCUGUGAAAACUCGAGGCUCAACCUCGAGACGCCGGUGGAAACCAUCAGGCUAGAGUCCGGAAGAGGAGAGUGGAAUUCCUGGUGUAGCGGUGAAAUGCGCAGAUAUCAGGAAGAACACCCGUGGCUAAGGCGGCUCUCUAGUACGGUACUGACGCUGAGGAGCGAAAGCAUGGGGAGCGAACAGG
rnacentral:rRNA from 1 species